UACGUAGGGUGCGAGCGUUAAUCGGAAUUACUGGGCGUAAAGCGUGCGCAGGCGGUUUUGUAAGCCAGAUGUGAAAUCCCCGGGCUUAACCUGGGAAUGGCAUUUGGGACUGCAAGGCUCGAGUGCGGCAGAGGGGACUGGAAUUCCCGGUGUAGCAGUGAAAUGCGCAGAUAUCAGGAGGAACACCAAUUGCGAAGGCAGCUCGCUGGGACGUUACUGACGCUGAGACGCGAAAGCGUGGGGAGCAAACAGG
rnacentral:rRNA from 1 species